rnacentral:rRNA from 1 species
AGAGUUUGAUCCUGGCUCAGGACGAACGCUGGCGGCGUGCCUAAUACAUGCAAAGUAGAACCGCUGAAGACUUUAGCUUGCUAGAGUUGGAAGAGUUGCGUAACGGGUGAGUAACGCGUAGGUAACCUGCCUACUAGCGGGGGAUAACUAUUGGAAACGAUAGCUAAUACCGCAUAACAGUGUUUAACACAUGUUAGAUGCUUGAAAGAUGCAAUUGCAUCACUAGUAGAUGGACCUGCGUUGUAUUAGCUAGUUGGUGGGGUAACGGCCUACCAAGGCGACGAUACAUAGCCGACCUGAGAGGGUGAUCGGCCACACUGGGACUGAGACACGGCCCAGACUCUACGGGAGGCAGCAGUAGGGAAUCUUCGGCAAUGGGGGCAACCCUGACCGAGCAACGCCGCGUGAGUGAAGAAGGUUUUCGGAUCGUAAAGCUCUGUUGUAAGAGAAGAACGUGUGUGAGAGUGGAAAGUUCACACAGUGACGGUAACUUACCAGAAAGGGACGGCUAACUACGUGCCAGCAGCCGCGGUAAU